UACGGGGGGAGCAAGCGUUGUUCGGAUUUACUGGGCGUAAAGGGCGCGUAGGCGGUCAGUGCAAGUCAGUUGUGAAAUCUCCGGGCUUAACUCGGAACGGUCAACUGAUACUGCUCGACUAGAGUGCGGAAGGGGCAACUGGAAUUCUUGGUGUAGCGGUGAAAUGCGUAGAUAUCAAGAGGAACACCUGCGGCGAAGGCGGGUUGCUGGGCCGACACUGACGCUGAGGCGCGAAAGCUAGGGGAGCGAACGGG
rnacentral:rRNA from 1 species